rnacentral:rRNA from 1 species
AUGAACGCUGGCGGCGUGCCUAAUCCCUGCAAGUCGAGCGAACAGACGAGGAGCUUGCUCCUCUGACGUUAGCGGCGGACGGGUGAGUAACACGUGGAUAACCUACCUAUAAGACUGGGAUAACUUCGGGAAACCGGAGCUAAUACCGGAUAAUAUAUUGAACCGCAUGGUUCCAUAGUGAAAGACGGUUUUGCUGUCACUUAUAGAUGGAUCCGCGCCGCAUUAGCUAGUUGGUAAGGUAACGGCUUACCAAGGCAACGAUGCGUAGCCGACCUGAGAGGGUGAUCGGCCACACUGGAACUGAGACACGGUCCAGACUCCUACGGGAGGCAGCAGUAGGGAAUCUUCCGCAAUGGGCGAAAGCCUGACGGAGCAACGCCGCGUGAGUGAUGAAGGUCUUCGGAUCGUAAAACUCUGUUAUUAGGGAAGAACAAAUGUGUAAGUAACUAUGCACGUCUUGACGGUACCUAAUCAGAAAGCCACGGCUAACUACGUG